rnacentral:lncRNA from 1 species
UGUCACCCUGAGCUAAUGUCUUAAGGAAGAACAAUUAUUCUUAACAAAUGCUGGAUUCAUCUCCAAAGUUAGAGCAAGACCUUAAAUGGGAAUGUAAGAAAUAAUUCACUGACUGGGAGGAUCAUCAUCACUUCCAAGGUGACUACCUUGUGUUCAGGGAGUAGAGGGAAAUCCAGAAGCAGGAGGAGAUAUGGUCCUUUCCCACAGGGAGAGUCUAGUCCCGUGGACUGAGGUGGGAUGCCACUCAAGGCACAAGGACUAAGUUGAAGAAAGACAAGGACAGACCAGGAGGCACUUUACAGAGCUCCAGAGGUCCUUUAUGGGUAUGUCAAGACAUCUAUCUUAGAUUUAAGUUUCUGCUACUGAGGAGAUUGGGCCUACCUGUGGAUGCCUUUGUACAGUGGCCAACACUUGCCAGACUAAUUGCUUCCUGAGCUAGGAAGAGCGUCCAGACAGAGACCUAGGAAGUUUGAUAUAUUGGGAUCCUUCAACUGCCGGGAUUCCAGAUGAUAAAUAAACUGCACGGUGGAAUUUGAAUCAACCUAUUCAGAGACUUGAGAGGAGUAAGAGGGGUUCUGGGAGAGAAGGCGAGCUCACUUCUACAGACAACUCUCCUCGCUGGCCACACCAUGCUCUAUAAACACCCUGCACCAUCUGUGAUGUCAACCACCGGCCGCCUGGAGAACAUGCCCUGCUCUGUCAUGUACUCCUUUCCAACUGAGGACCACCUUAUUCAUCCUCCAGUCUCAACAGUGUAUGAUCGGCACCACCCCAUCCAAGAUUGAGACAUUAAAUAAGUUUACCAAGAUCAUAUAGCCCAUAAAAAGAACAGCUGGAAUUUGAACUUGGUUCUCCGUGACUUCAAAGCCCAAAUUCUUUCUGCUGCAGCAUCCUGCCUCUACAAAGAGUGAAAAUCCCAGGGCAUGGCUAUUAAAGGAGAAUUUGAGCCAGUUUUUAUCCUGUGCCCAGGGCACACCCUGCCAAUGUCUUCCCUUUCCUCCCAGACAGAUACUGAUGGGCCAGGGCUGGAGAGGCUGAAGCCUGAGGUACAAAAACUUAACUGACCGCCACCAAGGAAGUACCCCAGGAUCUACAGCCCAAUUUGGCGACGUCAGAGAUCUGAAACAAGAAUGCAAGGCCAAGUCUCUCUCAUCUCAACAAACUGCAAAUACAAACAAAAUAACCCAAAUUGGCUGAGAGAAAACAUACUAUCUGUGACAUUUAUUAUUUGCUUCAGUGUCAUCCCCUUGAUGGUCAAUGACUGAACAGAUAGACAACAUAGAGUUUUAUUACUUUCACUGCUUUAUUUAAUUUGGAAAACAAGUCACUUAAUGCUUUGGCAUUAGGCAAUAUAAUACAAUACUCAGACUGCAAUAACUAACUUUAAGCCUAGACUACAGAAAGGAGGAGGGGUCCAAUAGUUAAAUGGUUGAAUGUUGUUUAGAAUAG